GGACGUAGCGCAGUUCUUAUCCGAUUGUGGUAAUGGUAGUGUUUCUGAACUACGUGGGAGAGCGCAUCGCUGGCAGCGAUGAGGUCAGGGGUUCGAUUCCCCUAGGCUCCACCA
rnacentral:tRNA from 1 species